rnacentral:rRNA from 1 species
UACGAAGGGGGCGAGCGUUGUUCGGAAUUACUGGGCGUAAAGGGCGCGCAGGCGGCUCUGAAAGUCAGAUGUGAAAGCCCCGGGCUCAACCUGGGAAUUGCAUUCGAGACUGCAUGGCUAGGGUGCGGAAGAGGGAAGCGGAAUUUCCGGUGUAGCGGUGAAAUGCGUAGAUAUCGGAAGGAACACCAGUGGCGAAAGCGGCUUCCUGGUCCAGCACCGACGUUCAGGCACGAAAGCGUGGGGAGCAAACAGG